rnacentral:rRNA from 1 species
UACGUAGGUGGCAAGCGUUAUCCGGAAUUAUUGGGCGUAAAGCGCGCGCAGGUGGUUUCUUAAGUCUGAUGUGAAAGCCCGCGGCUCAACCGUGGAGGGUCAUUGGAAACUGGGAGACUUGAGUGCAGAAGAGGAAAGUGGAAUUCCAUGUGUAGCGGUGAAAUGCGUAGAGAUAUGGAGGAACACCAGUGGCGAAGGCGACUUUCUGGUCUGUAACUGACACUGAGGCGCGAAAGCGUGGGGAGCAAACAGG